GACCCAGUAGUGAGUGGUUUGCACCGGUGCUUUGUGGGUCGCCUCCGACUUGAAUUGCCAGCGGGAGGUCCUGGUUCAAAUCCAGGCAGGGUCG